UUCCUUCAAUGCCCCGAUCUUCGCCCUCUUUGGCAGGAACUGAGCUCUCUUUCUGCUUCAGUACCGUCGGACUUUCAGCAUCUUUGGGGCAUGGACCUGGCCAACAGACCACGAUCAACGGUCAUCAUUGCUAUUCUCUGGAAUAUCUGGAAAAGAAGAAAUGCAAAAGUUUUUAGGCAGGAUUUGCAACCUAUACACCUCAUCGCCCGCUCAGCUGCAGACGACCUCAUGCUUUGGUCCAAUAGAUGCUCCAAUGAGCAGGCCGUGAACCUUCUGCGUGAUUGGUGUACUAUGUUGUUCCACUUGUCUAUGAGAUUGUAA
rnacentral:rRNA from 1 species